rnacentral:rRNA from 1 species
AGUUUUUUGAAAAUAUAAAAGAUGAUGUCUGCUCAAUGAAUUACAUUAAAUAGCCAUAGUAUUUAUGACUAUGCAAAGGUAGCAUAAUCAUUUGUCUUAUAAAUUAAGACUAGAAUGAAUGGAUUUUUGAAGUAAUACUUUCUUAAAUUAAAAUUUAAAAAUAGUUUUCUUGUUGAAGAAAGCAAGAUAUUAAUGAGGGACGAGAAGACCCUAUUAAGCUUUAUAAAAUUAUUUUAUUGGGGUAAUAAAAGAAAAAAUUUUCUUUUUAAAAGGAAAAUUGAUAAAUUUGAUUUAUUUUUAAUAAUGAUAGAAUAAGUUACUAUAGGGAUAACAGCAUAAUGUUUUUUUAAAGCUCUUAUUUACAAAAAUUAUUAUGACCUCGAUGUUGGAUUAUAAAUAUUGUAUGAUGAAGCUAUCAUAUAAAUUAGUCUGUUCGACUAUUAAAUUUUUACA